rnacentral:rRNA from 1 species
CACGUAGGGUGCGAGCGUUGUCCGGAAUUAUUGGACGUAAAGAGCUCGUAGGCGGUGUGUCGCGUCGGCCGUGAAAACCUGCAGCUUAACUGUGGGCUUGCGGUCGAUACGGGCAUCACUGGAGUUCGGCAGGGGAGACUGGAAUUCCUGGUGUAGCGGUGAAAUGCGCAGAUAUCAGGAGGAACACCGGUGGCGAAGGCGGGUCUCUGGGCCGAUACUGACGCUGAGGAGCGAAAGCGUGGGGAGCGAACAGG